CACCAUAGAGUUCAUGACCUAAUCAAAAUGUUGUAAAAGAUAACAAUAACUUCAUUUACUUAGGAAACCAAAUAGAAUACAUCCUUUCACUAGAUGCAAAUAGUUGCAUUUGACAGAAAGCUAAAGUUACAGGUAUGCUACAAAGCUAUGCUCGGGGGACGGGUCGUAUUACAGACCGACCUGCCUGAAAUUGCAACAUGCUCCUAAGUCCUAUCCCGGAGCUAAGUUUAUUCGUCUGAUUAUUAUAAAUAUUUAAGACAAGUUCUUAUAGGGUUUCAGCCGUUGAACCAGUGAGCCGCUUAGGUGGAGGGACAUGACUUCAUUGGUUGAUCCCACCAGUUCUCCGCCGAUAAACACCGCUGGGACGGGGCCAUUGCAACCCAUCCUUAGUAGUGCCUUCUCAAUUUCCUUUCCCUCUGGAUCAUGAUCGAUUUCAUGAACAUAAGGAUCUAUUCCAAUUUCUCGAAACAACAUGUGUACAGUAUAGCAUAAGCAACAUGUGCUUUUGCUGAAGAUAAUUACUCCCUUUUCUGAUGCCAAUUUUUUUACCCUCUCCAUCUGAGAUGACUCGUCCCGUUCUCUUCAGAUAUAUCAGAUCGAAUAUAACAAGAUUAUUUUUAAAAAAAAAU
rnacentral:lncRNA from 1 species